UGGUUAAGUUAGAAAGGGCGCACGGUGAAUGCCUUGGCACUAGGAGCCGAUGAAGGACGGGACUAACACCGAUAUGCUUCGGGGAGCUGUAAGUAAGCUUUGAUCCGGAGAUUUCCGAAUGGGGAAACCCACUGUUCGUAAUGGAGCAGUAUCUUUAUCUGAAUAUAUAGGAUAUUGAAGGCAGACCCGGGGAACUGAAACAUCUAAGUACCCGGAGGAAGAGAAAGCAAAUGCGAUUUCCUGAGUAGCGGCGAGCGAAACGGAAUUAGCCCAAACCAAGAGGCUUGCCUCUUGGGGUUGUAGGACACUCUAUACGGAGUUACAAAGGAACGAGGUAAAUGAAGAGGUCUGGAAAGGCCCGUCAAAGAAGGUAACAACCCUGUAGUUGAAACUUCGUUCCCUCUUGAGUGGAUCCUGAGUACGGCGGAACACGUGAAAUUCCGUCGGAAGCUGGGAGGACCAUCUCCCAAGGCUAAAUACUCCCUAGUGACCGAUAGUGAACCAGUACCGUGAGGGAAAGGUGAAAAGCACCCCGGAAGGGGAGUGAAAGAGAACCUGAAACCGUGUGCCUACAAGUAGUCAGAGCCCGUUAAUGGGUGAUGGCGUGCCUUUUGUAGAAUGAACCGGCGAGUUA
rnacentral:rRNA from 2 species